CACCUCCCAUCCGUGUCUAUCUGUACCCUGUUGCUUCGGCGUGGCCACGGCCCGCCGAAGACUAACAUUUGAACACUGUCUGAAGUUUGCAGUCUGAGUUUUUAGUUAAACAAUAAUUAAAACUUUCAACAACGGAUCUCUUGGUUCCGGCAUCGAUGAAGAACGCAGCGAAAUGCGAUAAUUAAUGUGAAUUGCAGAAUUCAGUGAAUCAUCGAGUCUUUGAACGCACAUUGCGCCCCCUGGUAUUCCGGGGGGCAUGCCUGUCCGAGCGUCAUUGCUGCCCUCAAGCACGGCUUGUGUGUUGGGCUUCCGUCCCUGGUAACGGGGACGGGCCCAAAAGGCAGUGGCGGCACCAUGUCUGGUCCUCGAGCGUAUGGGGCUUUGUCACCCGCUCCCGUAGGUCCAGCUGGCAGCUAGCCUCGCAACCAAUCUUUUUAACCAGGUUGACCUCGGAUCAGGUAGGGAUACCCGCUGAACUUAAGCAUAUCA
rnacentral:rRNA from 1 species